UACGUAGGUGGCAAGCGUUGUCCGGAAUUACUGGGCGUAAAGCGUGCGUAGACGGUUGCGUAAGUCAGAUGUGAAAGCCCCGGGCUCAACCUGGGAAUUGCAUUUGAGACUGCGUAGCUAGGGUGCGGAAGAGGGAAGCGGAAUUCCCGGUGUAGUGGUGAAAUGGCGUAGAUAUCGGGAGGAACACCAGUGGCGAAGGCGACUACCUGGCCUGUUCUUGACGCUGAGGCGCGAAAGCUAGGGGAGCAAACGGGG
rnacentral:rRNA from 1 species